rnacentral:rRNA from 1 species
UACGUAGGGUGCGAGCGUUAAUCGGAAUUACUGGGCGUAAAGCGUGCGCAGGCGGUUUUGUAAGCCAGAUGUGAAAUCCCCGGGCUUAACCUGGGAAUGGCAUUUGGGACUGCAAGGCUUGAGUUUGGCAGAGGAGACUGGAAUUCCUGGUGUAGCAGUGAAAUGCGUAGAUAUCAGGAGGAAUACCGAUGGCGAAGGCAGGUCUCUGGGCUAGAACUGACGCUCAUGACACGAA